GACGAACGCUGGCGGCGUGCUUAACACAUGCAAGUCGAACGGAAAGGCCCUGCUUUUGUGGGGUGCUCGAGUGGCGAACGGGUGAGUAACACGUGAGUAACCUGCCCUUGACUUUGGGAUAACUUCAGGAAACUGGGGCUAAUACCGGAUAGGAGCUCCUGCUGCAUGGUGGGGGUUGGAAAGUUUCGGCGGUUGGGGAUGGACUCGCGGCUUAUCAGCUUGUUGGUGGGGUAGUGGCUUACCAAGGCUUUGACGGGUAGCCGGCCUGAGAGGGUGACCGGGAACAUUGGGACUGAGAUACGGCACAGACUCCUACGGGAGGCAGCAGUGGGGAAUAUUGCACAAUGGGAGGAAGCCUGAUGAAGAAACGCCGCGUGCGGGAUGACGGCAUUCGGGUUGUAAACAGAUGUCGAAUGUGACGAAGAGUGAGUGACGGUAAUGGGUAAAGAAGCACCGGCUAACUACGUG
rnacentral:rRNA from 1 species